rnacentral:rRNA from 1 species
AUGCCAGGGCCGGAGGUGUUCGACGUCGUCAUCUUCGGAGCCUCGGGCUUCACAUACGUCAUCCGCGAGGCCCUCAACUGGGCCGCCUCGCCGGGGCCCGUUCCGCACGUCCCCAUCCUCGUCGCCGAUACCUCCGACCCAGCCUCUCUCGCCGUGGUCAUCGCGCGGGCGCGCGUCCUGCUCUCCUGCGCGGGGCCCUUCCGCCUCCAUGGCCGCCAGGUGGCUGCGGCCUGCGCGGCAGCAGGGGCCCACUGCCUCGACAUCUCCGGCGAGCCCGAGUUCAUGGAGCGCGUCGAGGCCGACCUCCACGAGCUCGCCGCCAAGAACGGGUCGCUGAUUGUCUCCGCCUGCGGUUUUGCCUCCACCGUCGCGGACCUGGGGUUCUUGUUCCACUCCAGGCAGUGGACGCCACCGUCAGUGCCGGUGAGCAUGGUCGCGUAUGUCAACCUGGAGUCGUCGGACAGAAAGAUCGUCGGGAACUUCGCCACGUUUGAGUCGGCUGUUCUUGGUGUGGCCAACACCAGCCAGCUGCAAGAGCUGCGCCGGUCCCGGCCGAGGCCCGCAAAGCCCAGUGUGAGUUACUAA